UACGUAGGGGGCAAGCGUUGUCCGGAAUCAUUGGGCGUCAAGCGCGUGUAGGCGGCUCGGUAAGUCUGCUGUGAAAGUCCAGGGCUCAACCCUGGAAAGCCGGUGGAAACUGUCGAGCUAGAGUCCGGAAGAGGCGAGUGGAAUUCCUGGUGUAGCGGUGAAAUGCGCAGAUAUCAGGAGGAACACCAAUGGCGAAGGCAGCUCGCUGGGACGGUACUGACGCUGAGACGCGAAAGCGUGGGGAGCAAACAGG
rnacentral:rRNA from 1 species